rnacentral:rRNA from 1 species
UGGGGAAUAUUGGACAAUGUGCGAAAGCCUGAUCCAGCCAUGCCGCGUGUGUGAAGAAGGCCUUUUGGUUGUAAAGCACUUUAAGUGGGGAGGAAAAGCUUAUGGUUAAUACCCAUAAGCCCUGACGUUACCCACAGAAUAAGCACCGGCUAACUCUGUGCCAGCAGCCGCGGUAAUACAGGGGGUGCAAGCGUUAAUCGAAAUUACUGGGCGUAAAGCGCGCGUAGGUGGUUAUUUAAGUCAGAUGUGAAAGCCCCGGGCUUAACCUGGGAACUGCAUCUGAUACUGGAUAACUAGAGUAGGUGAGAGGGGAGUAGAGUUCCAGGUGUAGCGGUGAAAUGCGUAGAGAUCUGGAGGAAUACCGAUGGCGAAGGCAGCUCCCUGGCAUCAUACUGACACUGAGGUGCGAAAGCGUGGGUAGCAAACAGGAUUAGAUACCCUGGUAGUCCACGCCGUAAACGAUGUCUACCAGUCGUUGGGUCUUUUAAAGACUUAGUGACGCAGUUAACGCAAUAAGUAGACCGCCUGGGGAGUACGGCCGCAAGGUUA